rnacentral:rRNA from 1 species
AGACGCACCGUCCAAACGUUAUUCGGAAUUAUUGGGCUUAAAGGGUGCGUAGGCAGUGCGGUAAGUCGGGUGUGAAAUCCCUCAGCUCAACUGAGGAACUGCGCUCGAUACUGCCGUGCUUGAGGAAGAUAGAGGUCAGCGGAACUGAUGGUGGAGCGGUGAAAUGCGUUGAUAUCAUCAGGAACACCAGUGGCGAAAGCGGCUGACUGGAUCUUUUCUGACGCUGAGGCACGAAAGCUAGGGGAGCGAACGGGAUUAGAUACCCCGGUAGUCCUAGCUGUAAACGAUGAGCACUUGAUCGAAGACUCCUCCAUAGGUUUGCGGUCGUAGCGAAAGUAUUAAGUGCUCCGCCUGGGGAGUAUGGUCGCAAGGCUGAA